AUUAUUUUCCAGUUCAUAAGCAUGAUGAUUGAGUCUUUAUCCUCUUGCAUGACAUGUGCCUCCCUCAAGCCUUGUUAUCACAUGGGCACAUUACCUGUCUGAUG